rnacentral:pre_miRNA from 1 species
ACAACAUUUAUUUUGGACUGUCGGUCUACAGAGCAAUAUUACCCACUCUGUGGAAGAUCUUCCUUUGUCGU